AUGAUUGUUACACUAUGGGCUAUUUGGGCAGCGAGGAGAAAGAUAAUCCAUGAAGGCAUUUACAAAAAUCCUUUCUCAACUCAAGGUUUCAUCACUAGCUACAUCGCAGAGUUGAAGCAAAUACGGAAGCCUGUUGAGAGGACGGUGGCUGCACCAACUAUUCGCCCAGCCACGUGGCAGCCUCCACCGGAGGAUCAUGUUAAAAUUAACGUUGAUGCUGCCGUGUCACGUUCAGGUGGUUUUGGUGCUGUGGGAGCGAUUUGCCGCGAUGCAACUGGGAUAUAUCAGGGGGCAUCGGUAGUCAUAUUCAGAAACAUAGAAGACACGGAGGUUCUGGAAGUACUCGCUAACAGGGAAGCAAUGGCGCUUGCGGGGGAUCUUUACGAGCAUAAAGUUUUCAUCGCCUCGGACUGUAUGGCAGCGGUGGAGGCAAUCAGAGGAGGAACAGCAGCAUCUUACGGAGCAGUGGUGCACGAAAUAACGGAGAGAGCUAGUUUUACUUCUUGCAUUUUUAGCCAUGAAUUUCGGACCUCGAACUUUGAGGCCCACAACCUCGUCUCUCUCCAUUCCCCUCUCCCAAAUCCAAAGAACUCCAUACGAGGACAAGAGUCUCCGAGCUACAUGGUUUCUUCGGAUGGUAUUCUCUCCAUUCCCCUCUCUCAAAUCCAAAGAACUCCAUACGGGGACAAGAGUCUCCGAGCGACAUUAUUUACUCGCACAUUAGCCGGCGAAUUAACCACUGGUUGA
rnacentral:rRNA from 1 species